CUCUCCCAGCCCCCAGCACAGGGCAAGGGGUUGCGUAGUGAAACGCCAGGUGGGAGAGAGGCCCGCUGCCUGGGGAACCCGCUGCCACAUGCCAGACGUAACGGGAUUCCCAAAGGGACAGGCCAUGGGCAGCAGUUCUACCAGCUCAUGCACAAACCUCCAACUUCAGGGCUCAAGCCAGUGCUCCGCGGAGACCCAGCGCCGGGCAGCUCCCCCCUCAUCUGCUGCACCUUCCCCUGCAGCGGCCGGUGCUGCCCCUACCAGAGACAGGCCUUGGCUCUGAGCCGGACCCCACCCGGGGGCAGCUCCCGCCCGGCCGGGGUCCGACAGAGCCCCUGCCCGCUCCAGUGGGAGCAGAGAUGUGUGCCAUGGCUUUGGCACUGCAUGAGGCCGUGGGGCCCAUGCCAGGGCGGAGCACCAGACGCCCCCUCCCAGCCAAUGCAGGGGCAGGAAGGGCACCGGGAGGAGUGUGCAGCCAAGAGCCGUUCCCCGUCACCUUCUGCCUGGCGCCGGAGACCCGCCAGCACCGCAGCUAUCGACCUGCCUCUGGGCAGCGGAGACCGAGCGGCUGUAAUUACAUUGCUCCAGCCACAGGCUUCCCGCGUCUCUUCGUUAGCUUCCAUCCCAGACUGCAGGAGUUUGUUAGCCAGCCGGGGGGGGGGUGGCCCCCGCGCUGAGUCCAGGACAAACCGGCUGGGAAACAGCCCCCCAGUAACCCUGAACGCACAGCCCCAGAGCAGCGACUUCCCGACCUGGAGCCUCUCGACCACGUCCCAGGAACCCAUGCAGCUUGGGCAAGCCACCGACCAGCCCUGCUCCAAGGCUGGGGGCAGCAGAACCAUGCGUGGCCACGCGCCCCAGGCUGGGCUAGCAGGGACUGUGGGUCGGGAGGGAGGGGCACUGGCAGAGCGUGGGGGGGCAGGUCGGGAGGGAGGGGCACCGGCAGAGCUGGGGGGGGGCAGGUCGGGAGGGAGGGGCACCGGCAGAGCUGGGGGGAGCCCAGGGUU
rnacentral:lncRNA from 1 species